UACGAAGGGGGCUAGCGUUGUUCGGAAUUACUGGGCGUAAAGGGCGCGUAGGCGGCGUGUCAAGUCAGGCGUGAAAGCCCCGGGCUCAACCUGGGAACCGCGCUUGAGACUGGCAUGCUCGAGUUCGGGAGAGGAUGGUGGAAUUCCCAGUGUAGAGGUGAAAUUCGUAGAUAUUGGGAAGAACACCGAUGGCGAAGGCAGCCAUCUGGACCGACACUGGACGCUGAGGCGCGAAAGCGUGGGGAGCAAACAGG
rnacentral:rRNA from 1 species